rnacentral:piRNA from 1 species
UNGAUAGUUCUCGCCUUACUUACCAGAACGC